UACGUAGGUCUCAAGCGUUGUUCGGAUUCAUUGGGCGUAAAGGGUGUGUAGGUGGCGCGCUAAGUCGGGUGUGAAAUUUCGGAGCUUAACUCCGAAACUGCAUUCGAUACUGCCGUGCUUGAGGACUGGAGAGGAGACUGGAAUUUACGGUGUAGCGGUGAAAUGCGUAGAUAUCUGGAGGAAUACCGGUGGCGAAGGCGGCGAUCCUGGACCGGCAGUUGACGGCUGAGGAGCGAAAGCCAGGGGAGCAAAG
rnacentral:rRNA from 1 species